GUCGAACGGAUCUGUAUUGAAACCUAGUGAUUUAUGAGUUAGUGGCGGACGGGUGAGUAACGCGUGGAUAACCUGCCGUAUACCGGGGGAUAACACUUAGAAAUAGGUGCUAAUACCGCAUAAGCGCACGGCUCCGCAUGGGGCAGUGUGAAAAACUCCGGUGGUAUACGAUGGAUCCGCGUCUGAUUAGCUAGUUGGCGGGGUAACGGCCCACCAAGGCAGCGAUCAGUAGCCGGCCUGAGAGGGUGGACGGCCACAUUGGGACUGAGACACGGCCCAAACUCCUACGGGAGGCAGCAGUGGGGAAUAUUGCACAAUGGGGGAAACCCUGAUGCAGCGACGCCGCGUGAGUGGAGAAGUAUCUCGGUACGUAAAGCUCUAUCAGCAGGGAAGAAAAUGACGGUACCUGACUAAGAAGCCCCGGCUAACUACGUGCCAGCAGCCGCGGUAAUACGUAGGGGGCAAGCGUUAUCCGGAUUUACUGGGUGUAAAGGGAGCGUAGACGGCAGCACAAGUCUGGAGUGAAAUCCCGGGGCUUAACCCCGGAACUGCUUUGGAAACUGUGCGGCUGGAGUGCAGGAGGGGUAAGCGGAAUUCCUAGUGUAGCGGUGAAAUGCGUAGAUAUUAGGAGGAACACCGGUGGCGAAGGCGGCUUACUGGACUGUAACUGACGUUGAGGCUCGAAAGCGUGGGGAGCAAACAGGAUUAGAUACCCUGGUAGUCCACGCCGUAAACGAUGAUUACUAGGUGUCGGGGGAUCAAGGUCCUCCGGUGCCGGCGCAAGCGCAUUAAGUAAUCCACCUGGGGAGUACGUUCGCAAGAAUGAAACUCAAAGGAAUUG
rnacentral:rRNA from 1 species